rnacentral:rRNA from 1 species
UACGUAGGCGGAAAAAUAAGUCAGUGGUGAAAUCCUGCAGCUCAACUGUAGAACUGCCAUUGAAACUAUUUUUCUUGAGUAUAGUUGAGGUGGGCGGAAUGUGUCAUGUAGCGGUGAAAUGCUUAGAUAUGACACAGAACACCGAUUGCGUAGGCAGCUCACUAAACCAUUACUGACGCUGAGGUACGAAAGCGUGGGGAGCGAACAGGAUUAGAUACCCUGGUAGUCC